rnacentral:lncRNA from 1 species
CAAGUAAUCCAUUAAAAGAGUCAAGUAGAGAAUAAAAUCUACUAUCUUUUAUGAUUUAAAAAGUUUUUCAUCACUUUUAUUGCUGAGACUCAGCUAAAUAAAUAAUCCACAUCAUCCCUGCACUACGGCCAAGGAUAUUCAUUAGGGUCACGACCACAAAUUCCAUGCACUACGGGCCAAGGAUAUUUGUGUAUUCAUCAAUGGUCAUGAUCAUGCCAACAACUGUCCAUCAAUGCACUACGGG